rnacentral:misc_RNA from 1 species
AACGAGGCCGACCUGCGGCUGAGUUACCUGCGGAGGGAUCAUUACCGAGUUUACAACUCCCAAACCCCUGUGAACAUACCUAUACGUUGCCUCGGCGGAUCAGCCCGCGCCCUGUAAAAAGGGACGGCCCGCCCGAGGACCCUAAACUCUGUUUUUAGUGGAACUUCCGAGUAAAACAAACAAAUAAAUCAAAACUUUUAACAACGGAUCU